UACAGAGGGUGCGAGCGUUAAUCGGAAUUACUGGGCGUAAAGCGCGCGUAGGCGGCCAACUAAGUCGGACGUGAAAUCCCCAGGCUCAACCUGGGAACUGCGUCCGAUACUGGAUGGCUUGAAUCCGGGAGAGGGAUGCAGAAUUCCAGGUGUAGCGGUGAAAUGCGUAGAUAUCUGGAGGAAUACCGGUGGCGAAGGCGGCAUCCUGGACCGGCAUUGACGCUGAGGAGCGAAAGCCAGGGGAGCAAACGGG
rnacentral:rRNA from 1 species